rnacentral:tRNA from 1 species
GGGGUCGUAGCCCAGCCUGGUAAGGCGACAGGCUCCAGACCUGUAGAUCGCCGGUUCAACUCCGGUCGGCCCCA